rnacentral:rRNA from 1 species
AUGCAAGUCGAACGGUAACAGGAAACAGCUUGCUGUUUCGCUGACGAGUGGCGGACGGGUGAGUAAUGUCUGGGAAACUGCCUGAUGGAGGGGGAUAACUACUGGAAACGGUAGCUAAUACCGCAUAACGUCGCAAGACCAAAGAGGGGGACCUUCGGGCCUCUUGCCAUCGGAUGUGCCCAGAUGGGAUUAGCUAGUAGGUGGGGUAACGGCUCACCUAGGCGACGAUCCCUAGCUGGUCUGAGAGGAUGACCAGCCACACUGGAACUGAGACACGGUCCAGACUCCUACGGGAGGCAGCAGUGGGGAAUAUUGCACAAUGGGCGCAAGCCUGAUGCAGCCAUGCCGCGUGUAUGAAGAAGGCCUUCGGGUUGUAAAGUACUUUCAGCGGGGAGGAAGGGAGUAAAGUUAAUACCUUUGCUCAUUGACGUUACCCGCAGAAGAAGCACCGGCUAACUCCGUGCCAGCAGCCGCGGUAAUACGGAGGGUGCAAGCGUUAAUCGGAAUUACUGGGCGUAAAGCGCACGCAGGCGGUUUGUUAAGUCAGAUGUGAAAUCCCCGGGCUCAACCUGGGAACUGCAUCUGAUACUGGCAAGCUUGAGUC